rnacentral:ncRNA from 14 species
GCCUCUCAGGGAGGCGAUGAUCUGAUAACUCCAUUGGUCGUACGAAGUUAUCAGGGAGCCAAAGUGAAACCGGCCCGUUGUAUC